ensembl:lncRNA
AGAGUCCACAGAUGUCCCACAGCAUGUGCCCAGUGAGAGUCCCACAGAUGUCCCACGGCAUGCGCCCAGGGAGAGUCCCACAGUGUGUGUCCAGUGGGAGUCCCACAGAUGUCCCACAGCGUGCGCCCAGGGAGAGUCCCACAGAUGUCCCAUGGCAUGUGCCCAGGGAGAGUCCCACAGUGUGUGCCCAGUGGGAGUCCCACAGAUGUCCCACAGCAUGCGCCCAGGGAGAGUCCACAGAUGUCCCACAGCAUUCGCCGAGGGAGAGUCCCAUAGAUGUCCCACGGCGUGUGCCCAGGAAGAGUCCCACAGAUGUCCCAGUGUGCCCAGCAAGAGUCCACAGAUGUCCCACAGUGCUCAGAUGGGAAGCAGCACCCUCUGCUGUUCUCUCUUUGAUAUAAAAAGUAGUCAGUUCUAGAAGCAGGGUGUAAAGGGCUAGGAUCUCAAGGCGUUAUUUAAAUUGAUUACAUCCAAGGCUGCCUAUGUGCACUCACUUGCCAUAUUCUGAGUAAAUUUGUUCCUCCAUUCAUCAAAUAUUCAUUAAUUACUUGAUAUGUGUCAGCCAUAACACUAAAUUCUAAAAAUAAAUAAGUAAAAUGUGAAUCAAAUAUUAAGUAAAAUAAGAUCCUUGAAGAUUUCACAGUAAAGAAGACAGACAUAGGAGUGGAUCAUUAAAACCCAGAAUUGAUGUACUAAUACAGGUAUAUACACAGCGCUACAGCAAUCAAAGGAAGGAAUACUCAGUUCUGACUGAAGGUGUGGCUUGUAGUUAAGGAAAAUCACUGGACACAUUAGGAGGCUCUCAGCUGCUGCAUGAAACAGAAACUAGGGCUCUGACAGGUAAUAAGGCCACUAACUAUCUUAUAUGACCUAAAUCAAAUCCCUUAUGACUCUACAGUGGAAGUGAGAAAUAGGUUUAAGGGGCUAGAUCUGAUAGACAGAGUGCCUGAUGAACUAUAGAUGGAAGUUCAUGACAUUGUACAGGAGACAGGGAGCAAGACCAUCCCCAAGAAAAAGAAAUGCAAAAAAGCAAAAUGGCUGUCUGAGGAGGCCUUACAAAUAGCUGUGAAAAGAACAGAGGCGAAAGGCAAAGGAGAAAAGGAAAGAUAUACCCAUUUGAAUGCAGAGUUCCAAAGAAAAGCAUGGAGAGAUAAGAAAGCCUUCCUCAGUGAUCAAUGCAAAGAAAUAGAGGAAAACAACAGAAUGGGAAAGGCUAGAGAUCUCUUCAAGAAAAUUAAAGAUACCAAGGGAACAUUUCAUGCAAAAAUGGCUCAAUAAAGGACCAAAAUGGUAUGGACCUAACAGAAGCCCAAGAUAUUAAGAAGAAGUGGCAGGAAUGCACAGAAGAACUUACAAAAAAGGUCUUCAUGACCCAGAUAAUCACAAUGGUGUGAUCACUCACCUAGAGCCGGACAUCCUGGAAUGUGAAGUCAAGUGGGACUUAGGAAGCA